UUGGGAUAUAGCCAAGUGGUAAGGCAUUAGACUUUGACUCUAACAUGCGCUGGUUCGAAUCCAGCUAUCCCAAUUCU
rnacentral:tRNA from 1 species